rnacentral:rRNA from 2 species
UACGGAGGGUGCAAGCGUUAUCCGGAUUCACUGGGUUUAAAGGGUGCGUAGGUGGAUUAGUAAGUCAGUGGUGAAAUCUCCGGGCUUAACCCGGAAACUGCCAUUGAUACUAUUAGUCUUGAAUACCGUGGAGGUCAGCGGAAUAUGUCAUGUAGCGGUGAAAUGCUUAGAUAUGACAUAGAACACCAAUUGCGAAGGCAGCUGGCUACACGAAUAUUGACACUCAGGCACGAAAGCGUGGGGAUCAAACAGG